CCACCUUAUAUGAUGCUCAGUGCUUGCUGCUUUAAGUGACAUUUACAAAGCGGGGUAAUUGUUGUUAAUAUUUGACACGUUUACGUUGAAAAAACUCCAGCGUCUUAUCAGCGUGACUGAGGUGUAAUGAGGUGGCGCCUUAACUUAUUUGGCUUCAUACUGUCCGCUGCCACAGCAGACACCGGUCUGUCCUCGUGUCCCACCGGAGUCACGGUGAAGCCAAGUGCUAAAUACGCUUCAUCAGACUUCCUCGUCUUAUUUUUCGGGUGACUUUACCUCCGUCUACAUCCGCCUUUCUUUUCAUCCCUGUUAAAAUGUUUUCCAUAGUGUCUCUUUAGCAAAAGCGUUUAUUGUUCACUGCCCUGUGUCACGAUCUGUUCGCUCUCUCCUGCUCAUUGCUGUGCGCGCGCUGCGUACAGUACUACAGUGUCAUACGCGGGGUCAUACGCGCCCCCCUGGCAUCUCACCGGGGCGCGCCCCACUAUUUGAGAACCACUGGUUUAAUUUAACAAAAUCUAAUUGGUCUGUACAAUUUUAUUGAUACAGAUUUAAACUUGUGUUUGUAUUUAUAUUUUUUAGGUAAAUCCAAUGUGGCUCGUGUAAAUCAACAGUAGUUCACAAUAGUUACAUUGACCCAAUUAAUAAUUUAUUCAUUGUGCCCUUCUUGCGCAUGCGCUGUGCCAAGUCAAUCCUCCAACACAGGGGGCAGCACCGGCAACAACUUUACUUGAUUCUGUUCAAUAAUGCAACAGAAGAGAAGUGCUUCCCAUGUGCUCUUAAGGCUGUGUCUCAAUUCGCCAAAUGCACCAUUCAAGGGUCCUUACGAAGUACUCUUCAAAAGUGUAGUUUCAAGGUUCCGGUCGAGAAUCUGCCCUCCUCAGUGUAGUCUCCAUCUUGCUGAAGUGGGACAGGCCCACACUACGAACCGCACUUCCACCUCUGUCUUUGAGCAUACGAUACGUACAUUACGUACGUUAUUUUUAAUGAUUUAUUAUUUAAUAGAAAAAAAGUCAAGAUGUCGUCGUCGCAGCUGUUUCUUUCUGUUUAGAUUGAAUAUCAAUAGGCAAAUAUAAGUUUCAAGGUGAUUUUUCC
ensembl:lncRNA